ACGGGAGGCAGCAGUGGGGGAUAUUGCACAAUGGGGGGAAACCCUGAUGCAGCAAUGCCGCGUGAGGGAAGAAGGUCUUCGGAUUGUAAACCUAAGUAAUCAGGGAUGAAGAAAGUGACAUUACCUGAAGAGUAAGCUCCGGCUAACUACGUGCCAGCAGCCGCGGUAAUACGUAGGGAGCGAGCGUUGUCCGGAUUUACUGGGUGUAAAGGGUGCGUAGGCGGGCUUGCAAGUCAGGCGUGAAAUGCCGGGGCUUAACUCCGGAGCUGCGCUUGAAACUGUAGGUCUUGAGUGAAGUAGAGGCAGGCGGAAUUCCUAGUGGAGCGGUGAAAUGCGUAGAGAUUAGGAGGAACACCAGUGGCGAAGGCGGCCUGCUGGGCUUUAACUGACGCUGAGGCACGAAAGUAUGGGGAGCAAACAGGAUUAGAUACCCUGGUA
rnacentral:rRNA from 1 species